rnacentral:other from 1 species
AGUUUGAGGUGUCGUCCCCCUGCGGAAACAAUUGGGUGAACCGACAAGCGUUUUGAGGGAGCCCAUAUAUCGUCCCCAUUACAGGCAUCCUCCGUUGAUGAGGAAGCUGGAAAAGGCGACGCGGGCACCCACCUUAUGGAGGUGGGUUCAUUUCGCAACCGCAGGGGGCGACUAUUUCUUACAU